rnacentral:rRNA from 1 species
CCUACGGGGGGCAGCAGUGGGGAAUAUUGGACAAUGGGCGAAAGCCUGAUCCAGCCAUGCCGCGUGUGUGAAGAAGGCCUUCGGGUUGUAAAGCACUUUCAGUGGGGAAGAAAGCCUUGGGGCUAAUACCCUCGAGGAAGGACAUCACCCACAGAAGAAGCACCGGCUAACUCCGUGCCAGCAGCCGCGGUAAUACGGAGGGUGCGAGCGUUAAUCGGAAUUACUGGGCGUAAAGCGCGCGUAGGCGGUCUGAUAAGCCGGUUGUGAAAGCCCCGGGCUCAACCUGGGAACGGCAUCCGGAACUGUCAGGCUAGAGUGCAGGAGAGGAAGGUAGAAUUCCCGGUGUAGCGGUGAAAUGCGUAGAGAUCGGGAGGAAUACCAGUGGCGAAGGCGGCCUUCUGGACUGACACUGACGCUGAGGUGCGAAAGCGUGGGUAGCAAACAGGAUUAGAUACCCCGGUAUUC